rnacentral:rRNA from 1 species
AGAGUUUGAUCCUGGCUCAGGACGAACGCUGGCGGCGCGCCUAACACAUGCAAGUCGAACGAGCGAGAGAGAGCUUGCUUUCUCGAGCGAGUGGCGAACGGGUGAGUAACGCGUGAGGAACCUGCCUCAAAGAGGGGGACAACAGUUGGAAACGACUGCUAAUACCGCAUAAGCCCACGGCUCGGCAUCGAGCAGAGGGAAAAGGAGCAAUCCGCUUUGAGAUGGCCUCGCGUCCGAUUAGCUAGUUGGUGAGGUAACGGCCCACCAAGGCGACGAUCGGUAGCCGGACUGAGAGGUUGAACGGCCACAUUGGGACUGAGACACGGCCCAGACUCCUACGGGAGGCAGCAGUGGGGAAUAUUGCACAAUGGGGGAAACCCUGAUGCAGCGACGCCGCGUGGAGGAAGAAGGUCUUCGGAUUGUAAACUCCUGUUGUUGAGGAAGAUAAUGACGGUACUCAACAAGGAAGUGACGGCUAACUACGUGCCAGCAGCCGCGGUAAAACGUAGGUCACAAGCGUUGUCCGGAAUUACUGGGUGUAAAGGGAGCGCAGGCGGGAAGACAAGUUGGAAGUGAAAUCCAUGGGCUCAACCCAUGAACUGCUUUCAAAACUGUUUUUCUUGAGUAGUGCAGAGGUAGGCGGAAUUCCCGGUGUAGCGGUGGAAUGCGUAGAUAUCGGGAGGAACACCAGUGGCGAAGGCGGCCUACUGGGCACCAACUGACGCUGAGGCUCGAAAGUGUGGGUAGCAAACAGGAUUAGAUACCCUGGUAGUCCACACCGUAAACGAUGAUUACUAGGUGUUGGAGGAUUGACCCCUUCAGUGCCGCAGUUAACACAAUAAGUAAUCCACCUGGGGAGUACGACCGCAAGGUUGAAACUCAAAGGAAUUGACGGGGGCCCGCACAAGCAGUGGAGUAUGUGGUUUAAUUCGACGCAACGCGAAGAACCUUACCAAGUCUUGACA